UGCACUUGCCUACUUUGUGAAAGCAGAUAAUAAUCCAAAUAUCGAUGCCGAUGGACUUCGUGAAUACUGAAUCAAAUUUGGAAAAACUUUUAUCAAAAUUGUCUUAAGAUUAAAAUACAAACAAUACAAAAGCAAGCAAAAAGAAACUAAUAGUUGUUCGAGAGACUGCUUAGUUGGAAUUAGCAAUCAUGAAGACGAAAUGCUGUCCGCUAUAUCUGCCCUUGAUGACGUGGACACUUACUCUGCUGCUGCUAUUUUCUGCUACGGAGGCGCGAUACGUUCGCCGUGACUACGAACGACCGGUUGAAGAUUGCCAGUUCACUUGUAACGUAGACUUAUACAAAUGUGACCUACAAUGUAAAUACCUGCGUGAUCUUCAAGGCGAGAAACUUACAAAAUGUCAUUCGGACUGUGCCGAUAUAUUCUUGGACUGUUUUGUGGGAUGUUUUUCUAUGAAUUACUCUUCAGGCAGUAGUCCAUUUGGAGUCUAUGGUUUCAAAUGAUCUUUGAUCUCCUACACUUGAAAUACCCUUAUUAAUCGAACACGAUUACUGAGAGAGCAGCAAAAAGUUUUAUUUAUAUUUCAAGUCCGCCAGCAACAUCCUCACCUAAUUAUGAAUAUCGUGCUAAAUGUUUAGAACAUUAGUGAUCCAUUAUACACAAGGGCAAUAAAGAACCUUCGAGCGGACCAUGUGGUUAAUUAUAACAUUUAGGAUCCUUACGUAACACUCUUUAUUUAUCUAGCUCCAACUUAUAGGCUCACUAAGGGUCUUUCGUAGUCAAAACACUCUAUUUAUUCCUUUAAUAGUUCUGAUAACAGACGAAUCCAGCGUAAUUACGUUGGCUCUAAACUUAAUUUUUGAUUUGAAAACAAGGUUGUGCAUAAUAUGUGAUUGUGGGGUGAACACUCGUUGUCCUAGAUAUUUGUUUAUGACUUAUUUAUUAAUUGUUCGAAUGUAAAUAUGAGUUGCUAUAUUUUGUAUGUCCUGUCUUUUAUCGCAGGUAUGAAAAUGUUCGCUUGUUGAGACAGAUGAAGAAUGUUUGUUCUUUAAAAGGUUGGCUGGUAUUGCAAAGACAUGUUCUCAUGUUUUGCAAAAAUCCUAUUUAUGUUUUUGUAAAUCUUACUGUUUUGUUUCAGUUUAUAUUGUUAUUUUUAAUAAUCAAUAACAGUAUACAGUAUAACAUAUUUGUAUUUAUAACGAUACAAGAAAUAAUAAGAUUGUUAUGCUGUUUAGUAAAUAGAAGCGGAAAGAUAAAACAUCCUUCUCUGAGUCAUACCCAUGUUUGUUGCAAUGUCUUUAUUAGAUACAUAUUUGAGGUGAUUUGAAGAUGGCGAUGUUUUUGUCAAAGAUUUUGCUGAAUGGAAUUUGUUGGAUAAUUUGAAAAUAAAAUGAGGAAAACCCUA